CAUGCGUCAGUGCUGGUUCUUGGCCAAGAUCUAUCGUUUCACUGGCGGGACACUGGAGUCAAGCUGUUCGGUUUAGCUAAGUCCCAAUGUGUCGAGAGAGAAAAAGGGAUGCAGUUGUUUGUCGCCUCAUUGAGUACCUUGGGGAACAUCAAGAAGAUCUCAUCCAAGAUUGCUAGGAUGAAAAGGAGGACAACAUGGACUAAACCAUGAAGGUGCUUGUGAUCCAUAAUCCUGCAGCCAAGGAGCAUACAGCAGAUGUGUUGAUUGCGAUGGAGGGAAACAAAGUGCUGAACGUGUGUGGAAACCGAACCAAGGCAUGUGUGCUGUUGAUGGGAUUGAUCUACGCUCUCAAACUUGAGUAUUCCAAGA